CUACGGGGCGCUGCAGUGGGGAAUAUUGGACAAUGGGGGCAACCCUGAUCCAGCCAUGCCGCGUGUGUGAAGAAGGCCUUUUGGUUGUAAAGCACUUUAAGCAGUGAAGAAGACCAUAUGGUUAAUACCCAUAUGCGAUGACAUUAGCUGCAGAAUAAGCACCGGCUAACUCUGUGCCAGCAGCCGCGGUAAUACAGAGGGUGCAAGCGUUAAUCGGAAUUACUGGGCGUAAAGCGAGCGUAGGUGGCUUGAUAAGUCAGAUGUGAAAUCCCCGGGCUUAACCUGGGAACUGCAUCUGAUACUGUUAAGCUAGAGUAGGUGAGAGGGAAGUAGAAUUCCAGGUGUAGCGGUGAAAUGCGUAGAGAUCUGGAGGAAUACCGAUGGCGAAGGCAGCUUCCUGGCAUCAUACUGACACUGAGGUUCGAAAGCGUGGGUAGCAAACAGGAUUAGAUACCCGCGUAGUC
rnacentral:rRNA from 1 species